UUUCCUGUGCAGGUUGGGAGAGGUAGCAAUGCUCAGAGAUUAUGCGGUAUUGCACUUGUCCCGGCCUGUGGAGGAAGG
rnacentral:pre_miRNA from 13 species